UUUGCAUAAAAUCUGUUGCGGCCAUCGGCAAAGAGCCACUCUCCAGGUUUAUAUUCACCAAAUCAAAAGUGUGCAUCCCAUUCUGAGAAGUUGAUACCAUAUUCAUAUCCACUCUGGCGUCGCCCUGCAUCAGGUGAGGGGAUGCCAUGUUCAUAUCAACCCUUCUAUCCCCAUGUAUCAAAUGCGGAGAUGCCAGGUUCAUAUCAACCCUUCUGUCACUGUGUAUAAAAUGGGGUGAUGCCAAGUUCAUAUCAACUCUUCUGUCCCCCUGUAUCAGGUGAGGUGACGCCAUGUUCAUGUCCACUCUCCUUUCCCUCUGCAUCAAGUGAGGAGAUGCCAUGUUCAUGUCAAGUCUUCCCUCUCCAUGAAUAAGGUGACUUGUCGGCAUUUUCAUCUCUACUCUUCUGUCCCUAUGAAUCAGGGCAGUGGCAUUUGAUGUCAUGGUAUCACCAUGGACUAAGGCUGGCGCAUUUGGUGCUAUAUCCACAUCAACCCUUCUAUCCCCCUGAAUCAGAGCUGAGGUGUGUGAGGCCAUGUUCAUA
rnacentral:lncRNA from 1 species